ACGUGCCAAUUGUUUAGAGACGUUCUAUAUUUUUUAUAAACCGCGUUUAUAACUAUAAACUUUAAUCAACACGAGGGAGUAGUCGGUAGACGGUAAACCUGACAUAUGAUUGUAGUUCGGAAUAUUUAUCUGAAGGAUAUUAAAAUCUAGAAAUUUCUUUCUAGCAGGAACGGAAUUUGAUAUAGAGCGAAUGAUCAGUUUAAUCCUGAAAACCUCACAAACAAUGCUUGCAAGAGGUGCAACAGUUGUGAGCCGUCAUUUCAGAAACGGACAGGAACUAAAGUGGUUUUAUGUUCUGUGACGGCUAAGACUAAUGUCUGUUAUAGAACCACGGAUAAAGAAGUUACAGAAAAGAAAGAGCCGAAGGUUGAGACAAAGCGGGAUUAUUUUUGCACAGACUUCCACUUGCUGAUACCACAUACAUGCAUUGAUAACCAAUCAGAGGCCGACAAGUAUCUUGUCAAAUGCACAGACGAUAUGGUAACGCAGAACAAUACUGACAACAGUUCUAAAAGAAAGAAGUGCGAACUAAUUGAAGAUGGGUAUUUAGAGGUUCUACCAAAACGAAUGGUGACGUUUGAUCAUCCGCUCACUGCGAUGCUGGACGGAGUGAAAGUGGCGAUAUACAAGGAAGGAAAGGACGAAUACGCUGACCGACUCAAACUAGACGAAAACCGCCUAAUCAUCCGGCCGAAUAGGCGAAUGAUUAUAGAUGGUCAUGCCGUUCAUGCAAACCUGCUCCAUAGAAUAAUCAGACAGCUGUUGCUACUCUAAGAUACAAUUUUCAAACUCUUCAUGUGACACAAGCUUUUCUGUCUAUACACGUGAUUAUUAGGACUAAGGAUAAAAACCAUCAAUGAGUCUUUUGAUUUUUGUAUUAUUUGGCCAUUUGCCAAGACGAUCGUUACGGAACGCUUUAUAUAUUUUUAGUUUUAAUCUGUUGAUCAGGCUUUGUUUGGAUUUAGUUAUUUCUUGUACUGUUUUCUUUAUUUUGCAUUUGUAUAUACAGUAUUUUGAGAGCAUGAGUAUGUAUGAAGUAACCUUGUUUUUGAGUGGAUAAAUAUUAGGAAUUCAUAUAUUUUGUAUCUGGAUUUCAUAAUCGUUCAGCCUUUUAAACGUUUGAUUCCAAAACUUUAUACCAAAUCAAUUGCUCCAUACUUUUAACUUCCCUAUUACAAAAAGAUAGAUUCGAUUCUAAUAAACUGCACUUAAAUUAGAUUUUGCUGUAAUAUUUCUGUGAAGAAAAUUUUAAAAGUAAAGCUAUGUAAAUUGUUUUCUUUGUAACAAGUAAAAGUAUUUUUGAAUUGAAGCAAACACUCUAUAAUAGUUUAAAAAUUUUUGAGUUAGGUAUAUCAUAUUCGUAAUGUUUUAAAGUAAUGAAUUUCCAUAUCGUAGAUAUCUUAAAUAUAUUUGGACUACAAAAUGGGCGGAAUAAAAUGAUCAAUAUAGAUUACUUCAUAAAUGCUUUAAAAGCUUGUUGGACCAGAAGGAUAAUAGAUAAAAGUAACCAAGGACAAUGGAAGAUCUUAUGUAGUAUAUUAUUGUCUAAUGUUGGAGGAGAACUUCUAUUUAAAAGCAAUUAUUCUAAGAAAGAAAUUGAUACUAUAUGUAAAUCCAGCAUUUUUUUCAAAGAUUUAUUAACGGUUUAGGUAAAUAUUAAUGCACCGGACAACAAUAAGAGUAUAAGUGAACAGGUAUUAUGGGAUAACACAAGCAUAAAACUGGUACGAAGAAGGAAUAAAGCACUUGGAACAUUUAUUGGAUUUCCAGAACAAAGACUUUCUAUAAGUCUGACGAAUUCAAGUGUUUAUAUAAUAUAGAAAAUAGACAAUUCUUGAAGUAUUACAAUCUUAUAUCAAGCAUUCCACUAACUGUUAAACAGGCGCUUGAUGACCAUUAAAUACAUGUUCUAUUUCUAUUGUUAAAAAUAUUCCAUGUCAUCAUAUUUGUAAAUGUAUGAAGAUUAAAAAAUAAAUUAUAAAAAAGGAAAAUUGGACAUACUAAUAAUAACUGAUCAAUGUCCUUAACUGAAAAGAAAUGUAUCAUUACAUAUGAAAAGCAAAAAGAAACAAAAAAAAAACAUAUUACAUGUUA
rnacentral:lncRNA from 1 species